UUGUAUACAUAGAUAAAUGAUAAUGUUAAUGGUGCGAAAUAUCACUUCGAAAUAUUGAAAAUCAAUAGUUGUCCAUCCAACAUCAUUUCAAUAAACUAUAGCCAAUUUUAGUGUUUUGGAUGGUAUCACCCUCGCCAAGGCUCUCUGUAAGUUUUUUUUUUUUGUUUUUACUCAUCUCUCAAACUCUAGUUGUUCCACCGAGCUGCCCUUUCUCUCUUUCUCCGAUGAGCUAUUUUUUUUCCCUCUCACCGAUGAGUUGCUCUCUAUUUUUCUCUCUCCGACGAGCUGCCCUUUUGCUCUUUCGCGGCUGUCUCUUCCACAAAGUCUCUUCUUCGAUUUUCACCGUCGCCGCCGUUAACAUCCUCUUCUGCUAAAUCCGGUGAAAUAUGAGUUUUAUAAGUUCCAGAUAUGCGAGAGUUAUGAGAUGCAAAUCCAGAUCUAAUAAGAUUUGGAAUGAAUUAAACAAAUUUGUACCAUCUAUUCUAAGAUCUAUUAUCAAAUGAAUUGAUGGUGCAAAUUUACAUGUUAAUACCAUUCAUUCUUGGAACAACAGAGAUCCAUUGGCUUAUGCGUGGCAAGAAUGGUACGAAAUUUACCAUUUCGCACCAUUCGUACCAAGUGUACCGAUAGAUACUUUUUGGGGUGGUGCUGAAACCAAUCUCCAAGAUUGCCCAUAAUAUGUGUCCAGAAUUAAGAUUCACUGGCGCAGUCAGUGAUAUCUGUUUCAAAUCAUUGUAUAUUUAGCUCUUGAAUAUUCAUUUUAUUUUGUGUUAUUUUGUGAGAUUUAUACUUGAAUUUGUAGUUAGAUUUGUUGUAGAAUGAAGAACAUGAAUAAAAUAUUAUUUCGAAUUUGUAUAAUUCCAAAUUUAUGUUAUUUCGUGUUGAUUCGUACCAUUCAUCCUAAGAUAUGUUUCCAUAGCUCUUUGGGAUGGAUGGUACGAAUAUGCCAUUUUCCAUAAACUUUGAAAUUUAUAUUUUUAAUCAUGAAAUUUGCAUGUGUUUCAAUUUUUCCAUAAAAUUGAAUACUGGUAGCCUGAAAGCUGACGUGUCUUUAAACAUGCCAUACAUAUGUAAUGUAACACAUGUCAUUACUUAAAUCGAAGUAAUAUUACAGAAACGACGUCGUCUUGAUAGUGGUAGACUGGUAGUCAAAACUAAACUACUGCUUUUUGCUGAAGGACGACAUCGUUUGGGUCAUAAUCUUGAAUUAAAGCCUCAAUUUAGGGCAUUAUCAUUUUUACAACCGUUAAAAUUAAGGCUUCCGUCAUUAUUUCACCUCAAGUUCAAGGUCAACAACUACAGCUAUAUUCUUGUUUAAUCAAAGUGGUCCCAACUUUCGUUUCAUUGACUGUCAAGAACAUGGUGGGUGGUGACAAAUCGAGGAAUAUUUGUAGCUUCAAUGGCAGACAGAUAGGCCAUAUUUAAUGGCAUUUUUUGUUCAUUUUUGUCCAUUAGUUCCUAGGAAAUUCAUAUAAAGUGUAGACGAAUUGUACGAAUUAAGGUUUUUUUUAGCUCUUAUAGGGAAGUUUUUCUUUAUUUUUGUUGAAUGGGUGAGAAAUGUGCAAUUUUUUAUUUUUUUUUCUUCUUAUUAUUUGAAUUGAAUGUAGUGGCGAAUUUGGGGUUUAUAUACAUCAUGGGGGGAAAUUUACUAGAGUUGGGUAUACAAGAUUGUAUAUUGGGGGCAGGGCAAUUCUCAAAAUGGCAGAUAGGGAUAGAUUUGGGUAUUUUGAUUUAGUUGAAUUAGUUCGUGAAUUAGGUUAUGUCAGUUGGGAUUGCCUUGCUUGGAAAACACAUAGGACACUUGCCUCUUUUUAUUAUGAAAAUGAUGUUGAUGUUAUGAAAAUGCUUAAGAUUAGUCUUUGCAAAUAUGAAUUGUGUAGUGUGUAUGUAGAUGAUGGUAAAUUAGACGAGGCAAAUGCUAAGCAGGUUGAUGAUAGCGGGAUAAAAGGAAAGGGUGUUGACAAGCCUGUUGAAAAGGAGAAAGAGAAGGUUGUAGGUGAACUAGAGGGGGAAUUCACAACUACUAGAAGUAGGAAGAUUGCCCUAGAUAUAGGUUGUGAUAGUGUGUCUGUGGGGGAUUCUCCAAUAACUAGGAGUAGAAAGAAGUCCCUAGACAUGUGUAUUAUUAGUGUAUCGGUGGAGAAUUUACCAAAAAAAAAGGCUACCAAGAAGCAGGUUGGGGGAGAUGGUAGUGGGAAAAAGGUCAAGUCGCCUUUUAGUUAAAGGUAUAUAAAUAAGGUUCAUGAGAGUGAGGGAAAGGGUAAAGACCUUAUUGAGACUGAUCCUGAGGAUGGUGACUAUAUUCCUCAUAAAGAAGGGCAACAAUAUGAAACAGAUGAUAGUUUAGGAGACAAUGAGUUGGGGUCUGAUGAUGAAGAAUAUAGGGUGACUAGGUUGAACAUUAGACUAGAGGAAGGGGUAGUUCAAGAAAUGGAAGACUUAGUUUUGCUAGAUGAUGGGGGAUUGGGUGAGGGUAGGAAUGUUGCUCCAAAUGGUAGUAAUGUUGAAGGAGAUAAGGGUAUGCACUUUGACUAUGAGAUAUCUGAUGGGGGAUAUGGUGUCUAACUCCAAAGAUGAGGAAGGAGGGUUUAUGAGAUUGCCUAGAAUUAUGUAUAUGACCCUAAGUGUAAUCACAAGGAUUUGAUAGUACAGAUUGGGUUAAGGCUUGAGAAUGGGUUUUAAUGUAACGAAGCUCUUAGAAGUUGGGUUAUACUGAAGGGUUAUCCUAUUCAGUUUAGGAAAGUGAGCAAAAAUCAACAAGAAGCAAAAAUCAAAGAGCAAUGUACAUUUGCUCUGAAGAUUAUUGUUGGUCAGCACACAUGCCUUUUUGAUAUACACAACAAAUUGGCAGAUUAUAAAUGGUUAGCAAAACAAUACAUUGAUGUGUUUAGGCUAAGGCCCCGUAUGCAGGUUCAAGAGAUGGCAUUAGAUGUGAACUCUAGAUUCUCUAUACAACCCUCUUUAGGGAGACUUUACAAGGCAAAGGCUCAUGCUCUAGAGUUGUUAAGGGGUCAGUUAAUAAACAUUACAUGUCUCAAUUAAUAAGAGUGGAUAGGGAAGGGCGGUUAUGUCUGAAUUGAUAAGAGUGGAUAGGGAAGGGAGGUUUGAGCUUCUCUUAGGAGAUAAUUUUGUAUUCAGGGGACUUUACAUUAGCUUUAGUGCAUUGAGAAAGGGGUUUAUGGAGGGCUGUAGGAAAAUCAUUGGGCUUGAUGGGUGCUUUCUUAAAACCUAUUUGAGGGGUCAACUGUUGUGUGUUGUUGCUAAAGAUGGAAACAACCAUAUGUUUCCAGUGGCAUGAGCAGUUACAGAAGCUGAGAAUGAAGAAUGUUGGACCUGGUUUCUAAGAAUAUUGCUUGAGGAGUUGGGUGUAACAGAUGGUCUGGGAAUGAGCUUCAUCUCAUAUCAGCAGAAGGGGCUACAAAAUGCAAUGACAGGUCUUGCACCAUUUGCUGAACAUAGAAAUUAUGCAAAACAUGUCUACUGUAACUAGAAGAAAACAUACAAGGGAGUAAUAUGUGAAUGUUGGACCUCUUUAUGCAUCCUAUCACUUGUCAUUUGCUACAUAUUAGUUACAUUUGUCUUAAUUCAUUUUGUUUGCCUAUAUGUAGAUGUCAACAAGGAGUGCCCGAGCAACGUCCAUACCACCACAUCCUAACACAAGGUCUCAUACCACAUGAAGCCUAGCAUCUGGUGUAGGGUAUUCCAACACACAAUCUAGUCCAACACAAGAGAGUCAGGGGAAUUAGGCACUUCAUAGUUGAUUUUCUUUGUUUUUGUUGAUGAAACAAACAUUUAUUGUUUUAUGCUAAACUCUAAUGUAUUAAGCUUGAUGAUGAUUCUGAUUUUGCAAUGUAAGACCUGACUUAUUUCAACAACUCUAUA